AUAUAUAUGUUUGUUUCUUCAAUGAGAAGAGAUGGUCAGAGACAGAAAUGCAGUAUUUGGCAUGGAAUAGAUGGCGUUGGCAGAAUAAAGACUUCCUCCGGCGACGAAGAAGGGUUAAGGGUGAGAGAGAAAGACGAGAGAAAGACAAAACGAAGCAGAGGAGAGGAGAAAACACGACGGAGGGAGAAGGAGAAGAGGGUGCCGACGAACCCGCGUCCACUGUAGAACCGCGUUGCAACUGCUCCUUUGCAGCCAGGCAGCAGGUGCUGCGAAUGUCAUCAUUACGACGUUGUUGUACAGAUUUGGACCUUGAGGUUGACGAGAGUGGUUUUGGUUCAACUAGAAAUGAGUCUGCUGUGAUGGAACUGAUGGCAAAGUAACAUGCUCAAAUACCUGCUGGAAGACUGGGAAAGCUGUUUGGGAUACGAUGAUAAAGAAGACUGCUACAUAUCAAGACAGUGUCAAGCUUUACAAGGAAGAAUUUGAAAAAACAAAAUUAGCUCUGAUUAUAAGUGUAUUAUAAUGAUACUAAUGAAAGUGAGUAUUUUGGUUUGGUUGUGAAGAAGAAGAAAUCACGCGGGCGAAAAAAGGAAGUAUGAUGGAAGAAGGAGAAGAGGGUGGCGACAAUGGAAACUGAUGGAAACUCAGCUUAUUCUGUCCAGUCAGAUGCAAUUGAAUAUGAAUCAUAUAAAAAGCUCCACAUAGGACUGUACCCAGACAGAGAUAAUUUUAGAGCAAUGAAGAUCAUCAAGUAAUGCAAAAAAAAAUUCUAUCGCGCAUACCCUUCCAGUUUCACUUAAUAACAUUGGAGGUGUAUUAAUGGGAGCCUGUUCUGUAUUAAUGGGAAACUUUUGGGAUACGCAUACUACUGAAACUCUGUUUGAGUCUGGGUAGCAGAUAUAUCGGUAGGAUUAUCUUUUGACAAUCUGUUAUUUUCAGCGGCAAUUUAAUUUUUUGAGUUUAAGCCAUCAUUGACUUACUUCUUGGU